rnacentral:rRNA from 1 species
CCUACGGGAGGCAGCAGUAGGGAAUAUUGCUCAAUGGGGGAAACCCUGAAGCAGCAACACCGCGUGGAGGAUGAAGGUUUUCGGAUUGUAAACUCCUUUUGUUAGAGAAGAUAAUGACGGUAUCUAACGAAUAAGCACCGGCUAACUCCGUGCCAGCAGCCGCGGUAAUACGGAGGGUGCAAGCGUUACUCGGAAUCACUGAGCGUAAAGCGCGCGUAGGCGGGAUAGCAAGUCAGAUGUGAAAUCCUAUGGCUUAACCAUAGAACUGCAUUUGAAACUGUUAUUCUAGAGUAUGGGAGAGGUAGGUGGAAUUCUUGGUGGAGGGGUAAAAUCCGUAGAGAUCAAGAGGAAUACUCAUUGCGAAGGCGACCUGCUAGAACAUAACUGACGCUGAUGCGCGAAAGCGUGGGGAGCAAACAGGAUUAGAUACCCGGGUAGUC